rnacentral:rRNA from 1 species
UACGUAGGGUGCGAGCGUUGUCCGGAAUUAUUGGGCGUAAAGGGCUCGUAGGCGGUCUGUUGCGUCAGGAGUGAAAACUCGGGGCUUAACCCCGAGCCUGCUUCUGAUACGGGCAGACUAGAGGUAUGCAGGGGAGAACGGAAUUCCUGGUGUAGCGGUGAAAUGCGCAGAUAUCAGGAGGAACACCGGUGGCGAAGGCGGUCUCCUGG